UGUAAUAUAUAUUUGUAUUCGUAGUUCUUAAUAUUCUUAGAGAUUUUGCAUUUUAUAUAAUUUUGUAACAUUUAUCUACGCCCCACUUGGAAAGCAGCUCCGGUUGAAGUGGCCAGCGUAGUCAAAUAAAGCUUUAUCCUAUCCUAUCCUAUUUACUCAUCCUUGUUGAAAAACGUGAUGUCAUGCGUAUUGCGAAUAUUACCAAAGUUCUCGCGAUUUUUGUUGUUUUGCUAUAUUUUCCACUUUAAAAAGGUGAUAUUGAAGCAUAAACUGGUCUAAUUGUUCUAAAAACAUGCCUAAGCU